ACUCCGCCUGAGUAGUACGUACGCAAGUAUGAAACUUAAAGGAAUUGACGGGAUCCCGCACAAGCGGUGGAUCAUGUUGUUUAAUUCGAAGAUACACGAAAAACCUUACCAGGUCUUGACAUAUUCUGCGAAGCUAUAGAAAUAUAGUAGAGGUUACCAGAAAUACAGGUGGUGCAUGGUUGUCGUCAGCUCGUGUCGUGAGAUGUUAGGUUAAGUUCUAAAACGAGCGCAACCCUUAUCGUUAGUUACCAGCAUGUUAUGAUGGGGACUUUAGCGAGACUGCCAAUGAAAAAUUGGAGGAAGGUGAGGAUUACGUCAAAUCAUCAUGCCCCUUAUGAUCUGGGCUACAAACGUGAUACAAUGGCUAUUACAAAGAGUAGCUGAAACGCGAGUUUUU
rnacentral:rRNA from 1 species